UUCUCUCUACCCCGCGGCGGCUGCAUCUUUCUCUCUCUAAAAUUCAUCUUGUUCUUGCAUUUUUCUUGCAAAAUUGAACUUCCCCAAUCAUUCCAACCAUCCCAAGACUCAUUUAAUCAUCAUCAAAACAAAAUUUAAGCCAAAAUCUCAAAACCCCAAUUUGAAAUCCUAACGUUAAAACGAACCGUUUGCUUCAAUUUUGGCUUAUUUUUUCAUCACUUUUUGACCAAAUUGAGCAUCCAAAUCACUUCCUCUACCCCUCAUAUUCAUUUUAAUCGGUUUAAAUCUUUCUAUUUCAUCAAGUUACAAAAGUUCCCAUUACUGCAACCAUAUCAAUGGCUGAAACCUCAAGGAUCGGAAUAAGAAGAAAACAAGCUGCAAGGAGGAACUCAAUACCUUUUAGGGAGACUCAUGAGUUCGAGAUAAUCCAUUUCCCAUUGCUCCCUUGGCCUGACGCUUCCAAACUUGCUUUAUAGGUCGUAAGGUAAUCGAUUCUUACUAUGUGGAUUUGGAUGACUUUGAAGAUUUGGUUGUAUGUAAUAGAAGUGUAAAGGCAAUGUUAUAAUCUUCGGGGGAGGCUUUGAUUAUUGAGGAAUGAGUUUAUCCUAAUCUAGUUUGAGUAUUUUACUUGAAUAUGGAAAUUUCUGCAAAUAGGCUAGUUAGGAUAAUUACCAAUGUAGGAGGGGUCCCCAUAAAAUUUGAUGUAGAGGACUUAAACCAAAUCCUAGGGACUGAGAAUACGGGUUUCAAGAUAUAUACAUCUAGGAAGGGCUUCUCGUUUGCUGAUUUUAUUCAUUCACAUGCUAUUUGGAACAUUUGUAGGUGAAUAGACCUUUCUAAUGAUAUAUGCUCUCUCCCUUUCUACUCUCAGUUAUUACCUUUAUAAAUUAGGAUCCUCCACACUAUAUUACAAAAUAUUAUCAUUCAUAGGAAUGGGCAUUCGGAUGAGGUAACUGGGAUAAAAUUUGGAUUAUUGGAUUGUAUUCUUGAGAGGCGACCUGUUAACCUAAGCUAUGUCAUUCUAAUGCAUAUGUUGAGUACUUAUGGGGUUAAUAAUUAGUUGCUUCCUUGUGGUAGUAUUAUUACCAAAAUUCUCCAGCAUUUCGAUAUACCCUUUCGUGAGUCUGUAUAUGAGAAGACCAAGAGGAUAGAUGAAGAAGCCAUAAUUGGCAUAGGAUUUUAUAGGAUGAACAAGAAGUGGGUUAAUACGACCACGUCUAAGAACUGGGACACCCUUAUAGCUCUAGAAGAUGAUCGAGAGCUUAACGAUGUUUAUCCUGUUGAUCAGCUACCUGACGUUUUGCUAGGAGCUGGACCUCUUGUACCACGUCGAGGAGUAGUAGCACAACCUCAAGCAAAGUUUGAUUCUGAGGAAUGAGAUGGAUACUAAUCAGCCUCCAGCUCUAGAUGAUCCACCAGUUCUUGAAGGCCUUGUACAACAGUUGUUAGGUGAGGUUCGAUCACUCUCUAAGCAGCAGCAAUAGCUUCAAACUCAGUUUGCUACCUUUCAACUUCAUCACUAGCAACUUAUGGAUGGCCAGCAGUUCAUAUUCACUGCUCUUGACAUUCCACCUUCAUCUUUUUUAUCUCAUCCUCUGCAGUAGCUCCUUAUUGGUUUCUGUAUUUAAAUUUCGCACAAACAUCUUUAUGCAUCUUUUUAUUAUGACAUCUUGACUUUAUUAUACAUUUUGAUACUUAUAUGUGUUUGGUUUUCAUAUUUUGAUAAGUGUGAUGAUUUUGUGAUGAUGUUUUGGUCUUUUGAUGAUCGUUUACAAAGUGGUAUUGAUUUUAAUGAUUUAAGACUUUAGGUGUAAACUUGCUAACACUUGUUUUUUAAGGAGAUGCUUAUAGAUAGAGGGAGGUUCUGC
rnacentral:lncRNA from 1 species